UACGGAGGGGGCUAGCGUUGUUCGGAAUUACUGGGCGUAAAGCGCACGUAGGCGGAUUGUUAAGUCGGGGGUGAAAUCCUGGAGCUCAACUCCAGAACUGCCUUCGAAACUGGCGAUCUUGAGUCCGGGAGAGGUGAGUGGAACUGCGAGUGUAGAGGUGAAAUUCGUAGAUAUUCGCAAGAACACCAGUGGCGAAGGCGGCUCACUGGCCCGGUACUGACGCUGAGGCGCGAAAGCGUGGGAGCA
rnacentral:rRNA from 1 species